rnacentral:rRNA from 1 species
AUUGAACGCUGGCGGCAGGCCUAACACAUGCAAGUCGAGCGAGAGGCGGACGGGUGAGUAAUGUAUGGGGACUGCCCAAUAGAGGGGGAUAACUACUGGAAACGGUGGCUAAUACCGCAUACUAGCGGAUAACCCAUAUGGGAGUGGCUAGUAGGUGGGGUAAAGGCUCACCUAGGCGACGAUCUCUGGCUGGGCUGAGAGGAUGAUCAGCCACACUGGGGCGGAGACGCGGCCCAGACUCCUACGGAGGCAGCAGGGGGGAAUAUUGCACAAGGGGCGCAAGCCGGAUGCAGCCAUGCCGCGGGUAUGAAGAAGGCCUUAGGGUUGUAAAGUACUUUCAGCGGGGAGGCGUUACCCGCAGAAGAAGCACCGGCUAACUCCGUGCCAGCAGCCGCGGUAAUAC